AACGAACGCUGGCGGCAGGCUUAACACAUGCAAGUCGAGCGCCCCGCAAGGGGAGCGGCAGACGGGUGAGUAACGCGUGGGAACGUACCUUUUGGUUCGGAACAACUCCGGGAAACUGGAGCUAAUACCGGAUAAGCCCUAGCGGGGAAAGAUUUAUCGCCGAAAGAUCGGCCCGCGUCUGAUUAGCUAGUUGGUGAGGUAACGGCUCACCAAGGCGACGAUCAGUAGCUGGUCUGAGAGGAUGAUCAGCCACACUGGGACUGAGACACGGCCCAGACUCCUACGGGAAGCAGCAGUGGGGAAUAUUGGACAAUGGGCGCAAGCCUGAUCCAGCCAUGCCGCGUGAGUGAUGAAGGCCUUAGGGUUGUAAAGCUCUUUUGUCCGGGAAGAUAAUGACUGUACCGGAAGAAUAAGCCCCGGCUAACUUCGUG
rnacentral:rRNA from 1 species